rnacentral:rRNA from 1 species
AUGGGCAAGCUACGGAAAGCUUGUAAUUGGGAUGUCCCUGUAGUUUCAUCUUUAGAUAGUGAUGAUUCUGGAGGUGAAGGAUUUGUGCCUAAUGAUUUUGCAGAAGAUGGUUCUUUCCCUGUGUCUAUGGAAUUAUCUGGUGAUGAAGGAGGGCUUGACAAAGCUCUUCUGAAGUUCUAUCUCAACCGAAAAGUAAAAUGCCUCAAGAGGAAAUUAUCAUCUGCUUCAAGGAGGAAUGUGAGGCAGAAACGCUCUAGUGAUUACCCUACUUGUGCUACUUUCACUAGAUAUUCUGGGAAGUUCUUCUCUGGUGUUGUUGAUGGUCUAUGUUCUAGGUAUCGAGAUGUUGUCCAGAGAUAUGGCAUGGGCUGUCUCUUAGAGUUUGUUAGGACUGAGGUGCCCCUUAGGUUAGUGAAGUAG